AGGCCUGCCAAAAGGAUGUAGAGAUGUUAUAGGUUUCACUUCAGUGGUGACUGCAUAAAAGAUAAAUAGGUACUUUGGAAAUUUGGUUCCAUUAUAAAAGGAAACUUUUGGGGACAAAUCUUUAAAACAGCUUGUCAACUCAGUUACUUUGGAUGUGAACAAAACAUGAAUGUGUCCAUAUGUGGUGUUUAAUAUGACAUAACUGGAGAAGAGGCAUAAACAGUGGCACUUAUGAACACGUCGGACAGGGUGGGGGAAUGUGCAGAAAGUGAAGGCUUCUGCUUCCUUGACAGAGCACAUACUUCACAUGUGCAUGGUGGCAGAGCUAGAAAAACGUUUCUGCUAUCUGAAAUCUGAAGAAGUCUCUCCUCUCUUGAUCCCUAGACAUUGCUAUGAAAGAAGCACUUGUGUCAAAAGACAACCAUCAAACCAGCAAAGAAACAUAAUCCAAUUUGUAAUCCAAUAAAUAUAUUUUCCCAUUUGUUGCCAUUAGGAGUCUAAAGAAGAAACAUGGAUGUACAAAUAGAAAGAAUGUUUAAGUAGGGUGUAGGGGAGUGAAUGGGAAAGCUCUGAAGCCCUCCAGCAAGUUGUUAAAGCUGGAAAAUUGGGAGCUGGAAAGUAGAUAUUGCAAUGCUACCUAGGCUGGUACUAGCUGUCAUCCCUUCUUCACAAUGAACAGAAAUCCACAGUAGGUCAAGACUGGAUUCCUGUUUCCUCAGAGGGAAUAAAUUUUGGGAUAUUAAAGCACAAUAAUCAUGAGGGAGGGGGGGUAGGUCUUUGUGCGGUACCAGAAUAUUCCUUUUCUUGGCAACCUGUUGUUGACAAAUCUGAGAAAAAAGAUAACAUAUGCCAACAGAUGUUGAUGCAUGCACAGAUUUGAUUUCUUCCUCUGCCACAGCAGUAGGACCACCAGGAUCUUAAGAGAGCAUCUGAAAACUGAAGAAGGAAUAAAGUGAAGACUGCCGAACAGCUGAACCACAUGUGUUGGUUUUAAAAACACCUAUUCGCAUUUCAUUAAUGACACUUUCUUACCUUUCUCCCUAUACACCUUAUUCCUAAAGUGGAAAUCAUCCUUUUGAAGGUAAGGGCUGUAAGGUGGAUUUCUGUUUUAGCCACUGCCAAUUCUUUCCUUGUGUUAUUUCACAAGUGACAGAUUGUGUUACAGAUAUGAGUAUGCAAAAGACCUUUUGAUGCCUUCAGUCAUUCUUUUCACCUAAUUUUGUCAAAUUAUGCUAACAGCAGGACAGUGGGUAAGGAUGGGAGUCUGAUAGUGAAGCUCCAGAAAAGUCAGGAGGACUGGGUAACUUUAGAGCAGCUUAUUGGAACUACUUGUAGUCAUCAUUUGCUUCAAGCCAAGAUUUUCUAUGGAUGAUGGAAAGGAAGUCUCUGAUGUUUGCUGCUUGUGAGGUGAGGAAAAAAGCCAUGGCAGCCUCUAGCAGUGUUUGGAGGUAUCUGUUUGGCAGCAGCAUAGAUGCAUUUCCUCUGCUUUGCCUGCAAGCCACUGCCAGCUGUGAAUACAUUUGUCGCAAGGGACAUCAUAAUCCUUAGGUCCUGCUAAGAGGAAAGCUUCAGUGGUGAUUGUUUUGUCAUAAUGGUUUAAUCUCUGACUCAUUCCAAGUCUCUUGUUUCACAGUUGUGUGUUUAUUUUGUGGGCCUCUGUGUGCUUCUGUAUCUGUAAUGAUUUUGUUUGUUUUGCAGCUGUUGUUGCUGUAUCAGUGAAGACUGUGGGAUUCUUCCUUAUUAAGAAGAAUAUUUCUUCAGCAUUAGAAGAACUAAAGUAGGCAUGGGCAAACUUCAGCUAUUAGGAAUUGUGGGCGUUGAAGUACAAAACAUCUGGAAAGCCGAAGUUUGCCCACACCUGAUCUAAAGGAAGGGUCUGUUGCAAUGCUAGCUGUCCUUCUCUCCUCAAAUCAUAUAUGACUAACACGGAAAUCUGGACAAUGUUCAGUUAAUAUGCUUAAAUCUCUAAGCAACACUGGAUAGUAUGGACGAUAUCAGCUGUAAACACUACCUAUUAAAUGUGAGCAUUCUUCGCUUGA